GGUAGCGUGGCCGAGCGGUCUAAGGCGUAGGUUUAAGGCACCUGUCUCUCCGAGGCGUGUGUUCGAAUCCCACCGCUGCCA